ACAUCCGCCCCAUAGAUCCUGUGGGACCCCGAAGUUGGGAGGCCCCGAAAUGGUGCUCUGUCUCUUUAAGAACCCCAACUUUAAGGGCCCCAAAAUGCUGCGCUGUCCCUUUAAGAACCUCAAAAUGCUUCACUGUGCCUUUAAGGACCCCCAAAUUUGGGAACCCCACACUUGUGGGGCGGCCCCACAUCCGCCCCAUAGAUCCUGUGGGUCCCCAAAUUUCGGUCGACCCCAAAAUGGUGCUCUGUCUCUUUAAGAACCCCAACUUUGGGGGACCCCAAAAUGGCGCUCUGUCACUUUAAGAACGCUGAG
rnacentral:lncRNA from 1 species